rnacentral:rRNA from 1 species
AGUGAACGCUGGCGGUAGGCCUAACACAUGCAAGUCGAACGGCAGCACAGUAAGAGCUUGCUCUUACGGGUGGCGAGUGGCGGACGGGUGAGGAAUACAUCGGAAUCUACUUUUUCGUGGGGGAUAACGUAGGGAAACUUACGCUAAUACAGCAUACGACGUACGGGUGAAAGCAGGGGAUCUUCGGACCUUGCGCGAUUGAAUGAGCCGAUGUCGGAUUAGCUAGUUGGCGGGGUAAAGGCCCACCAAGGCGACGAUCCGUAGCUGGUCUGAGAGGAUGAUCGGCCACACUGGAACUGAGACACGGUCCAGACUCCUACGGGAGGCAGCAGUGGGGAAUAUUGGACAAUGGGCGCAAGCCUGAUCCAGCCAUACCGCGUGUGUGAAGAAGGCCUUCGGGUUGUAAAGCCCUUUUGUUGGGAAAGAAAAGCAGCAGGUUAAUACCCCGCUGUUCUGACGGUACCCAAAGAAUAAGCACCGGCUAACUUCGUG